AUACUUACCUGGCAGGGGAGAUACCAUGAUCACGAAGGUGGUUUUCCCAGGCGAGGCUUGUCCAUUGCACUCCGGAUGUGCUGACCCCUGCGGUUUCCCCAAAUGUGGGAGGCUCGACUGCAUAAUUUGUGAGAGUGGGGGACUUCGUUCGUUCACGCUCUCCCCUG